rnacentral:rRNA from 1 species
GAUGAACGCUAGCGAUAGGCCUAACACAUGCAAGUCGAGGGGCAUCACAUGAAGUAGCAAUACGGAUGGUGGCGACCGGCGCACGGGUGAGUAACACGUAUGCAACCUGCCUUCAACAAGGGGAUAACCCGUUGAAAGACGGACUAAUACCCUAUAACACAGGGGUCCCGCAUGGGGAUAUUUGUUAAAGGACAACCGGUUGAAGAUGGGCAUGCGUUCCAUUAGCUAGUUGGCGGGGUAAGGCCCACCAAGGCAACGAUGGAUAGGGGAACUGAGAGGUUUAUCCCCCACACUGGUACUGAGACACGGACCAGACUCCUACGGGAGGCAGCAGUGAGGAAUAUUGGUCAAUGGACGCAAGUCUGAACCAGCCACGUCGCGUGAAGGAAGACGGCCCUACGGGUUGUAAACUUCUUUUAUACGGGAAUAAAGUGCCCCACGCGUGGGGUUUUGCAUGUACCGUAUGAAUAAGGAUCGGCUAACUCCGUGCCAGCAGCCG